GGAGGUAGUGACAAGAAAUAACAAUACAGGGCUCUCUGAGUCUUGUAAUUGGAAUGAGUACAAUUUACAUCUCUUCACGAGGAUCAAUUGGAGGGCAAGUCUGGUGCCAGCAGCCGCGGUAAUUCCAGCUCCAAUAGCGUAUAUUAAAGUUGUUGCAGUUAGAACGCUCGUAGUCGGAUUUCGGGGCGGGCCGACCGGUCUGCCGAUGGGUACGCACUGGUCGGCGCGUCCUUCCUUCCGGAGACCGUGCCUACUCUUAACUGAGCGGGGGCGGGAGACGGAUCGUUUACUUUGAAAAAAUCAGAGUGUUUCAAGCAGGCAGCUCGCUCUUGCAUGGAUUAGCAUGGGAUAAUGAAAUAGGACUUUGGUGCUAUUUUGUUGGUUUCGAACACCGAAGUAAUGAUUAA
rnacentral:rRNA from 1 species